ensembl:miRNA MIRLET7C microRNA let-7c
GAAGUUGUGUGCAUCCAGGUAGAGGUAGUAGGUUGUAUGGUUUAGAGUUAUACCCUGGGAGUUAACCGUACAACCUUCUAGCUUUCCUUGGAGCACACUUGAACCAUC